GCCUCAGUUGCAUGGUGCUCCUCUGUGCUAAUUUGGGAAUGUAUAUUGCUUGCAGCAGAGGUCCCUGGUUCGAUUCCAGGCUGGGUCA